AAGUUGGACAUUUAACCGACUGAGCCAUCCAGUCGCCCUGCUGUAAAGUUUUUUAAACUUCAUUUCUGUGCUGUUCUUGCCACAGACGGGUAGCAAACACUUCAUGGACCAGCAGUGGUCUUCCAACCACACUGAGUGGUGCUGAUUUAGAUGAUUUUCUGCCUCCAUCCUCCUCCCUCAACAGCAACUCCAGAUACUUGAUGCUUGGAUGCCUCAGCUGAGAUGAGGGUGGGUGAAUUACCCAUUAUAAUUAUUGAGCCAAAUAUCAGAGGAAAAGGCUAAGUUUUUGCACUGCUGUUUUCUUGGGGACUUCUACUGUCACCAACAGAUUUCAUACUUGUGGUAACACUUUCUUGUUGUUGAUUUUUCUAUUUACCUGCUGUGUAGGGAAGAGAUUGAGCACAAUAGUAAGGCAGUAGUCCCUCCUUCUCCACAGGGGGUACAUUCCCACACCCCCCGUGGGUGCCAGAAACUGCAGGCCAUACGGAGCCCUAUAUAGACUAUGUUUUCUUCCUAUACAUAAUACCUAUGAAAAAGUUUAAUUUAGAAAUCAGAAAUAGUAAAGGAUUAACAACAAUAACUGAUAACAGAACAAUUAUGACAAUAUCCGGCGAUAGAAGUUAUGUGAAUGUAGUCUCUCUCAAAAUAUCUCAUUGUACUGUUCUUCUUGUGAUGAUGUGAGAUGACACAAUGCCCACGUGAAGAGAGGAAGUGAGGUGGAUGACACGGGCAUUGUGAUGUAGCUCUCGGUUGCUGGUGACCUUCUGGCAAUCUGUCAGAAGGAGGAUCAUCUGCUCCUGUACCACGGUUGACCACGUGUAACCAAAACCACAGGAAGCACAACCGUGGAUAAGAGGGGACAACUGUACGUGAAAUAGAGAAGACUCAGGGCAUAAAGACCCUGCAUAUCAUAGGAAAGACCUGUUUGGAGAUUUGCUGGAGGUGACCAGUUGGGACAACAACACCUGGAAGGAAUGAUUAUUCUCUCCGUGUCACAGAGGAGAAUACCGAAGAAGGCGAUGGGUCAAGGUCACGCAGCUUGGAGGUCUUUGUCUCCUCCAUCCUCUCCAGAGAGAAUGUCAAGGAGGCUUCUGGAAACUCAGAGCUCUGUGGCGGCUCAACCCUGCUGGAAGAUGGGAGCUGUUGAUCGUACACAGAUGACUGGAUACAGCUCUCAUUCUCUUGGAGUGUUAUGCCUGCUUCUCCCUCAGGAGAAGCUGGUCCCCGUGGCCCACAAUAGAUCCACUCUAAUAAGCGUUUUGAGGGUCAACAAGCCAUAGAAUCACUGGCUCUGGGGAAGACAGCUGUUGUGUUGUGUUGUGUUGUGGAGACACCAAAGAAGCCCCACAGAAAGGACCAUGUAGCAAGGAACCAAGGCCACCUGCCAGUCGCCAGUGAGGAACUAAGUCCUCGUGCCAUGGCAGAAAUCGAUGCUGUGGAGGAAAAGAGAAAGUGUCAAUGCCGUGGGCUCCCAGCUCCUGUGUCCACAGCACUUGGGGGACAAGCUGGAAGCACGAAGAAGGAGUCAGACUCAUCUUGGAUACCUAACCCCCCCAGCGCCUGGGGAGAACUGAGCCCUCCGUCACCCUGGCCCACUAGACAGAGAGGAAACAGCCCAGGGAGAUGCAAAGUGCUUCUCCAGGAGCCUCUCUGAGAUGUUUGCAAAGCUUGCAUGAAAACCCAGGGGAUGGAGCCUGGAGCGUCCUUCCUCUUCGAACACCACAGUGCUGACAAGUGCUGAGCCAGCCAUUCUGUCCUUUCCUGCUUCCCUGUCCUGUCCCUCUUCUUCAGUUCCAGCCACUAAGGACCAUUUCUAAGUCCUCCAAGGAAGAGAGAUGCAGAGACUUAGUCAUGCCGACCAAAACCUUCGCAUGGUCCCGUCCUACAAAUAGAGACCAACUGGUUCCCCAAUUAUCAGUGAGAGGACAGAGGAAACCAGAGGUGAGGGUAUCACUUCAGUUGGAGAAAUUUUUAUCCUAGGGAAUGGUUCAUAGACACUCGCCUGGGGGCGAGUAGUCCCCUGGGCCUUCUAAAAUGCCAGGGAAACUCCUGUCAAUUGGGCCCCGCUUAAGGGCUCUGCUUUCCAAAGGUGGAGAGUAAGAAGCAAGGGGAGUUUCUUCUCCGAGGGACUCUUGCUUCCUGGCCCAUCUGGCUGGGCUCGGGGUCUAGAUCCAAAGGGAAAAGGAAGCCCACACUGAAGCUCUGGGCCCCUUUCGUAAAGAGAGAGGGGAAUGAUUAAUAACCCACAAAUGACUCACAAAUAACAGGAAAGCUGUUUGCAAACAUGUAGAUGCCUAGCAGCCUCCCCCACUCCCCGCUCAGAAAGAAAUGAGCAAGAGACAGAACUCUAGCGCCUUCAGAGAGUCCUCCCGCCAGGCUGUCUGUGCUUCUCCGGGUGUGAGUGGGAAGAGGCUGCCGAGCCCCGAGGGGAAGAACCCAUCUGCACUCACACAGCGCCGCAGUCUCAGCCGGAGGGUCUUCAGCUUUUCUCCCAGGGAGUUCACGUGCUGUUUGAUGUCUGGGUCCUCGUUCUCAGCCUGGGGCAUCACCUCCUCCAAAUAAAACUGGAUCAUCUCGGACAAGGCUUGGCAACCCAGCAAAGGAAGCAGACCCAGCUCCCGGCCUCCCUUCUCUGAGUCACGCUGCAAGCUCGCCUCCCACACGCCCCCCCGGGCCCUCACCUUAAAGUCCUCCAGCAAGGACCUAGUCAACAAUAUGCUGUGCAGCUCGUCCUUGGUUUGCUGCAAGAAGAACAAAAGGAGAGUGAGCCCGAGGUUUGAGGAAAUAACUGAAAUAAAUGCCUUUCUGAUGCCCUCUUA